rnacentral:rRNA from 1 species
UACGUAGGUGGCAAGCGUUAUCCGGAUUUAUUGGGUGUAAAGGGCGUGUAGGCGGGAGCGCAAGUCAGAUGUGAAAACUCAGGGCUCAACCCUGAGCCUGCAUUUGAAACUGUGUUUCUUGAGUGCUGGAGAGGCAAUCGGAACUCCGUGUGUAGCGGUGAAAUGCGUAGAUAUACGGAGGAACACCUGUGGCGAAGGCGGAUUGCUGGACAGUAACUGACGCUGAGGCGCGAAAGCGUGGGGAGCAAACAGG